AGCCGCUGAAUAAUCAAUUCUCGCCUUGCUGGGGACAUUAAGAACGAGGAGCGGUGUUGGGAGCGGCAGCCGAUCCCGGCGGGCUCACCGCUGUGGGAUCCUCGGAUCUCCUCGCUGGCUGCAGCAUUUCCAUCACCUGCCACAAACUGCUGCAAGAAACCGGCGGGUCUGGGCUCUGCCAGCCCCUUCCAGCGCAGGACAGGAGCUCUAGGACAGGUAAGGGCAUGGAUAAAGCACUGGGAACUUGCAAUGGAAAGGGUGGGAUGAGGAGAGGGAGGUGCUGGUGGAGCAGAGGAGAUGCUGACACCUGAGCAAACCCCAAGGGCAGGUGGGAUGCCCUGGCACGGGCAGAGCU
rnacentral:lncRNA from 1 species